GACGAACGCUGGCGGCGUGCCUAAUACAUGCAAGUUGAGCGAUGAAGAUUGGUGCUUGCACCAAUUUGAAGAGCAGCGAACGGGUGAGUAACGCGUGGGGAAUCUGCCUUUGAGCGGGGGACAACAUUUGGAAACGAAUGCUAAUACCGCAUAACAACUUUAAACAUAAGUUUUAAGUUUGAAAGAUGCAAUUGCAUCACUCAAAGAUGAUCCCGCGUUGUAUUAGCUAGUUGGUGAGGUAAAGGCUCACCAAGGCGAUGAUACAUAGCCGACCUGAGAGGGUGAUCGGGCACAUUGGGACUGAGACACGGCCCAAACUCCUACGGGAGGCAGCAGUAGGGAAUCUUCGGCAAUGGACGAAAGUCUGACCGAGCAACGCCGCGUGAGUGAAGAAGGUUUUCGGAUCGUAAAACUCUGUUGGUAGAGAAGAACGUUGGUGAGAGUGGAAAGCUCAUCAAGUGACGGUAACUACCCAGAAAGGAACGGCUAACUACGUG
rnacentral:rRNA from 1 species